rnacentral:rRNA from 1 species
CAACUCGCCUGCAUGAAGUCGGAAUUGCUAGUAAUCGCAGAUCAGCAUGCUGCGGUGAAUACGUUCCCGGGCCUUGUACACACCGCCCGUCACACCAUGGGAGUCGGUAACACCCGAAGUCGGUAGCCUAACCGUAAGGAGGGCGCCGCCGAAGGUGGGAUUGAUGACUGGGGUGAAGUCGUAACAAGGUAGC